CGUAGGUCCCGAGCGUUGUCCGGAUUUAUUGGGCGUAAAGCGAGCGCAGGCGGUUAGAUAAGUCUGAAGUUAAAGGCUGUGGCUUAACCAUAGUACGCUUUGGAAACUGUUUAACUUGAGUGCAGAAGGGGAGAGUGGAAUUCCAUGUGUAGCGGUGAAAUGCGUAGAUAUAUGGAGGAACACCGGUGGCGAAAGCGGCUCUCUGGUCUGUAACUGACGCUGAGGCUCGAAAGCGUGGGGAGCGAACAGGAUU
rnacentral:rRNA from 1 species